UUCUUUUCUAUAGGCGAUGCGGGUUAUCCAAACAAAUCGUGGCUCUUAACCCCAUUGUCUAAUCCUGUUGGUAGAGCAGAAAAACGUUACCAAGAGACUCACAAAGCAUCGAGGCAAAUAAUUGAACGUGCCUUCGGUGUACUUAAAAGCCGGUUUAGAUGUUUAGACACUUCCGGCGGUGCUCUUUUGCACUCACCGGCGAAGGUUUGCGGCAUGGUAAAUGCAUGUUGUAUUUUACACAACAUAUGUGUCGCAAACCGUUUGCCGGUGACUCUUCGUCGCAGUGCUUUCCGACGCGGGAACCGUUCUUCUGCUCUACCGGUGGGUAUGGACGAAGGAGAUGAUUCCCGACGGACAGUGAUCCAAAACUUUUUUUCUGUUGCCUAGUUUUACGUCCUGUUGAUGUACCUUCCCAAGCCUGUUUUUAAAGUUUAGUCCUGUUGACGACUCGUUACCCCCUGUUUUCUCCUGUUGUUGGGUUGCCGCAAAUAUUGGACCCUUUUAUCCAACUCUACCUUGGGCGACCUACUUGUGAUGUGGACCUGACCCUCUGCCGUGUAGCAGACAACCCCCCUCAGGUCUUGCGGAGUAUCCUUCCCAAGUGGCGUGGAUGUGGAGACAUGACAUUUCCCCUGAUGUACCAUGGGCGACCUACUUGUGAUGUGGACCUGACCCUCCGCCAUGUAGCAGACAACCCCCCUCAGGUCUUGCGGCGUAUCCUUCCCAAGUGGCGUGGAUGUGGAGACAUGACAUUUCUCCUGCUGUACCAUGAGCGACCUAACACAAUUCCACUGCAUCUCAUAUUUAACAUUGUAUUUACUAAUAAUUGAAAUAAAAA